rnacentral:lncRNA from 1 species
AAAAAAAAAAAAAAACAGGCAAAACAUUUCAAAGCCUCAAUUUUGCAUUUCUGUUCAUACAGGAGAAAAGAGCUAAGAUAUGGAUUAAAGGCUGAUAAAGCCAGGUGAGAACAUUCUUCUGUGUUUAUGGCAUUGCCAUGGGCAGAGUGAAAGAUUUAAAAAUACUUCACGUUAGCUGGGGGGUUUAUGGAAGACCCCCGUGUAAGAAUGGAGCUGUCUCUUGAAGGAUGUUAAUAAAACUAACCCAAAGAUUCCUCUCUCAAAGGCUUUAAAUUUUUACAGUAUUUGUAAAAAAUUUCCUUUCACCCAAACCUUGUGCAUCCUUGAUUUCACAAGCCCACACCUACCUACCCCCAAAGGACCUAGCAGUGGUUUAUUAUAGCUUUCAUGGAAGCAGAAAGCACUUAGUAAUCAAAGAUAAUUCUGCUCCCACGUGAAUAAAUGCCGUUCAGACUUGCCUGUCACUAAAAGCCCUCAAAGGAAUGGAAGACAUAAAUGGGUAUGAUUUUAGUUCUAAACUGUUUUUAAAAUAUGUUCCAGCACCCUUAAUAGCAGAGUGAGCUAAUGUACGUCAGAGCAUCCAUCCUUUUCUUGAAAGUGGCUUCCGCAUGUUAGUGAAUAGAAAGAUUUUGGCCUUUUAUCUAAAAUAGCCUCCAGGAAAGAGAAUGUUUCCCUUCACCCUUUUCCUUCUCCCCAGUUUGGGGAAACGUUCAUCCACUAACAAAACCUUAAUAAGUUUCUACUAGAAAACACAAAUACAACCAUGUUCUACUGUAGCGACUUGCAGGUGGAACCCAGCAUGGAGUUCCCGCGUGUUGUUUCAUCUGGGCAAACCACCAAGUAAAUUCUGGGCUUUGAGAUAAAGUGUCAAGGAAUGUCAGGGCUUAAAACUGUUAGAAGACCACUGUCCAAAGGGCAGUAGAGAGGCAAGACCCCUCGUGACGUAGCCUGAGCUUUCCUCUCUCCGUGUUUCCACACCUGACAUGGAUGAUGUGCAUGUCGGAAGGACACCUUGCUCUUUCAUGCCUCAGAGGCUUUUCGCAUUUGCCCACUCUACUGGAACCACCUUCCUACCCUUGACUGGCCAGGAACUGCUGACACACGCUCAGACAUCCCACACUCUCUGAAGCAUUCAGUGAACAAAGUUCUUUCACCUUUUCAAGCAAAGUCCACCCCACCUUGUCUAGGCUGCUUCCUGUACCUUCCAGAGCAUCUCAUUAUUACAUGUGCCACACUCAGCUAGAAUCAUUGCAUAUAUUUUAGAGAUUAAACCCUUGUCAGCUGCAUUGUUUAAAACUAUUUUCUCCUAUUCUGUAAGUUGUCUUUUUUGUUUUCUUUUUAGUUUCCUUUGCUGUGCAAAAUCUUGUAAGUUUGAUUAGGUCCCAUCGGUUUACUUUUGCUUUCAUUUUUGUUGCUUUGGGAGACUGACCUGAGAAAACAACUUAUACAACUAAACAGCAAAAAAACCAAAAACUCAAUGAAAAAUGGGCAAAAGACCUAAAUAGACAUUUCUCCAAGGAAGAUGUACAGAUGGCCAAUAAGCACAUGAAAAAAUG